GACAGAGGGUGCAAACGUUGUUCGGAAUUACUGGGCGUAAAGCGUGUGUAGGCGGUCCGCUAAGUCGGGUGUGAAAGCCCUGGGCUCAACCCAGGAAGUGCACUCGAAACUGGCGGGCUAGAGUAUCGGAGAGGUUGGUGGAAUUCUCGGUGUAGAGGUGAAAUUCGUAGAUAUCGAGAGGAACACCGGUGGCGAAGGCGGCCAACUGGACGAAUACUGACGCUGAGACACGAAAGCGUGGGGAGCAAACAGG
rnacentral:rRNA from 2 species